CUAUUUCAGCUUAUUUUUAUCUUCUGUUUUACUUAAUUCCUUUUGGUUUGUCUUAUGUAAAACAAUCUGUUGUUUAAAGAUGCUUAAAAAUGAAACCUGCCACGAGUAAAGCUCAAUUAAAUUCACGUCGAAGUAAACCGCCUUGAUGUCAACUCCUACUUUAUUCUGACCAACUGACACGAACAAUUUCAGUAUGAACAUGCUCACAGCAGACAUGUCUAAUAGCUUUGUCCUGGAGGCAGGUCGCCAUCAGACGCCGCUGCUAAGUCAGAUUUCCUUGUGUUAAAGAAAAACCCCAGAGCAGCAGUUUGACCACAAGAGGGAGGCAGAGCCGCACUGGAACGACCUCAAACCCGCACCUUUGAACAGUUUCACCACAGAAGAAUAUACAACAGUGUGAAAGCCAAGAUGAAACUGGACACUCACCUGUUCCACACGUCACCAUCUUCUUUCCGUAAAGUGCAUUUCAAUAAGUGUGAAGUACAAACUCCUGUGUUCUGACCAAUAGUAACGUUUGACAAACUCUUUACAAUCUGCAGCGCUGUUUACACACUUCACAUAAAACUGUACUGACAACGUGCAGGAGGAUACUCGAUCACUGUUGUCAGAUGAAAACCUUAUAGUUUCACCAGCGUCAGCGCUGCCUGAAGAACAUUCAGUUGUUUUUAAUGAAGACUUGUGACACUUUGGGAGCGAUGCUUUUUGAGUUCUUGGAGACAGAGACGAGUCGCCGCCAGCAGCUGGUUUACUUUCUUUUACCUUAUCAAAGCUCUUCAUGGUUUUGCUACAGCCUGUUUGUCCAACAUGCUUCCAAUCUGUGAAUCAGGAUGAGGCCUCAAGGUCCUGUUCAGUUGUUCCACAGUGCAGGAAAUAAACUGGUGAGGCAGCUUUUAGUGUUGAUCUGAGGGCAGCUCAAAGUGUAGAAACUUAAAACCUGCAUCUUUUUCCUGGACAAUGUUUUG